GAGUUGGAGGGGAAAAACAGUAUGAAAGUGCAAAGCCUUGGAUAUAAGUAGGUAGCCCCUAAAGCAGGUGCUAACAAGACCUUCUUGACAACCACUGAGUUUUGUGUGUAGCAGAGGAAAAGUCACAGCUGAAAGAAAAGAAACAGGCAAGGAAUAGUAUUGUGCUGUAGCUGAGUGGGAUUAUAGUAGCUGAAUGAGUCAUUGUUAUAAAAUAUGGGCAAUAGAGCAUCCUUUCAUGUCUCUCUACGCAGAUUGAAUGCAGUCCUGACCAAGAUGACAAAAAUCAUUUUGAUUGAAUCCUUGUCCAUAUUUUUAAAUGAAACGCAUGUGGGGCUAUUAGCUCAGCUCCCCGUCAGAGGCGGCUGCACCGCAGCCCUGCCAUAUGUUUGGCAGUGUUUGAAGCACCUGGCAUCCUCCACAACAGACAGGCACAUCUGAAUGGGGAUAAAUAUUAAACCAUCUCGCAGUUUCCUCUUCCAGCUCCAGGGCUCUGAUCUUUGGCAACCAUGCUGGUGAUCGGAAGAGUGGAGCAUCUGGACAUCAGGAGGAUAAGAAAAUUGGGAAGGAAGCUGGGUCUGCAAGAAAAAGCAGCAGAACCCCAUCCUGUGAGGUCACUAAAUAUGCCUUUUGUUUAUGUAGAUGACUGAUAAAUCGGAUGUUUUAACAUCUAAUUUUCUGAGUUAAUGUGCUUCAGUUUCAGAGGCCAACUUAGGAAAUUCUGUGCCAAUUUUCAUAGAUUCAAAGUGCUAUUGGCUUCUAAAUUAGAUAAACAGAGCUUCCAAAAAUUAUGUCAACUGUGUGUCAAGUUGGCAUAAAAGACAAGAAACACCCUGUGUCAGUGUCAUUUAAAUAAACAAGUUAGCAACUAGUCCUAAAGACCGUGGAGGGAGUAAUUUAUAAGAAUGUGAGUUCCCAACUCCAGGAUUCCAGUUCUCUGACCCAAACAACAGCACUCCCACACACUUGGGAAUGUACAUAUGAAAUUAGCAUGGGAGUGCCAGAGCUGGAAAGCUGUAUCAAAAAGGCCAAAGACACAGGAAACUUCAGAUUUGGAUCUUGAUCUGAGAGGCUUUGGCCUCUUUCUAAAAUUAAGUGCAACUCCCUUGAGUUCUGGGGACCGCUCAGCAUCAUAUUGUGGGGAAGUCAAGGCAGAUAGGGAAAAAUUAAAUGGCAAAAGGCUCCCUGGAUGACAAGAAGGGAAGUGCUGAAGUGAAGAAAAUGCCUGUGAAGACUGGGAUUUUUUUGGACAGAAUUAGAUUCAGGAGGGAACAAAGGAGAACUUGGAGAGAAUUGGUACUGGAUGAAUAAAGUGGAAGGAACUUAUGUCUCAUGAUGGCUCUCAUAUGCCAUCGAAACUUAGCUCAGCUUAAAUGAUUAAGGCAGGUUUGGCUCAAAUUUGCUCUGAAUAAAAAUAUGGAUAGUGAAUCCUGCUUUUAAUUUUGCGGAAACAUGUCCCAAGUAUUUAUUGAGAUAUCAGUCUCAUUUUUUAACCAAGUGCCCUCUAUUAUAGCACAGACACUCCUCAGUUUCCCUGAAGAGACAGACCUCUUUCAGUCUGUUUUCAAUCUUAGGAAAAAGCAGUUGUUCAUAUGAACAACCAAGGUUCCAAACCUUUAAAGCUUUAUCCAUCACUGGUGCAACACGGUCUCAAAACAAAACACUCCAUGGAAAACAAUUAUUGACAUGCAUUUCUCAUUCAGUACACUGAUUUCACUGAGUAAAUAAUAAUGAUGAUAAACUUCAAAACAUUUGUGGAGCCCUAAUACUUGUUUUAUUUUUGUAAACUCUUUAAUGUCUCUGUCAUUUUUGGAAGCCAUCAUUUCAAUGAAAAUUCAUUAUUAAAGGGUUUGAUGACUUUCAGUAAUGAUCUUGGGAUGGAUGUAAUUAAUGAGCUAGAAAAAUCUUUAGGUUAUAUUAAGGUUGAGGAUUACUUGAGGAAUAUUGGAAAAAGAAGCAAGUCUUUCCCCUCAUUACUAAAUAUAUCCCAUGCAGUAAUAUGAAAGAUGCAACAUACUGUAAGAGAAACCAUGAGAUGAGGUACUAUGGUUGCAGCUGUGGUUGUAACGGAGUGACACACACCCUCCAAAAAUCCAAAACAAAAAGAAAAGAAAAAAGGAAAAAAAGGAAGAAAAGACCAGACCAUCCCAAAUUCUUUAAAGGUCAGAUGUGGGUUCAGGUUUGCAGAUGGAAGCCAAACCCAGAAUAUCAUCAUCAGAAGUCUGUGAGUUUUCCAUUUGGGAUCUACAUUUUACAACAGAUCUCUUUCUCCAUAAAGUUACUACAAGAAAACCUUGAUCUGAAUACCAAAAAGACAGAGAAGAUCUAGAUCCAGAUCUGCAGUAUGCGUUCACCUCAUUUCGGAUGGCCUGAUGGGACAAAGCUUACAAGUGCAGUUCACGUGAUGAUUUGGUGAUGAUUUGUUAUGCAUUCUUCCUCUGGUUUAUAUUUUCCUCCCCGCCUCCCCCCCUUACCCCCCUUUUUUUUUUCUUCAUUCAUUUUUUAUUUGUAUUUUUUCCCCAUCCAGGAGGACUGGCUUGAAAGAAUUAAAUAAUUAAAUAUGAUGCUUGGUAUGAAAACGGUA